GAAUGCUGGAUAUGUCAUUCACCUUUGACAUCUAUCAGAUGGUGCGGUCUAAGAUGCAAACAAUGCUGUGGUGUGUGGCAUAGAAACUGCCUCCAGAAAUCCUCAGAAGACUGGGAUAUAGAUGAUGAUGUAACAUCAGCAUCUGAUGAUGAGUACAUCCCAGAGUCUGUAUCGGAUUCAGAAAGCUCAGGGACAGAGUUGAGUGUUGAGUUGCCUGAACCAUCCAAAACGUCCCAUACCACUAACAUGCCUGAUUUAGGCGAUACUUUUGCUGAACAAGAACACAUGAAUACACAGGAUAUCUGUAAGAAUUUCCUGGUGGAUGUAGAAACUAUCGGUGAUCUCCAAAGUGACCCCAAA